rnacentral:lncRNA from 1 species
ACGGAUGCAGGAAACACACUGCAGGACCCUGCAAAAUUCAUGGAUGUUGGUCCAGUGGAGUCCCAUAUCUUGUUGGAGGGUAGGAUGGCAGGCUCUUGUAUGGCUCUUGAUAUGUUAAGCUUUAUCUUCUCGAUGGUAUCAUCUUUUUCUUCUUGUUUGUUAGUAAUGUGGGGAGUUGCUGUGUUCCCUGGGGUUGCAUUUGACUGUUGGAGUUGGAAGUCAAUGCGCUUCUUGGUAAGGAGGUGGAGCAUUUCAUCUUUGAAGCAGCCAAGAGCUGCUUCUGCAAGGUGAGCCACCUGGGGUGG